UACGGGAGGCAGCAGUGGGGAAUAUUGCACAAUGGGCGCAAGCCUGAUGCAGCCAUGCCGCGUGUAUGAAAAAGGCCUUCGGGUUGUAAAGUACUUUCAGUCGUGAGGAAGGUGUUAAGGUUAAUAACCUUAGCAAUUGACGUUAGCGACAGAAGAAGCACCGGCUAACUCCGUGCCAGCAGCCGCGGUAAUACGGAGGGUGCGAGCGUUAAUCGGAAUUACUGGGCGUAAAGGGCACGCAGGCGGUUAAUUAAGUUGGAUGUGAAAUCCCCGGGCUUAACCUGGGAAUGGCAUUCAAGACUGGUUAGCUAGAGUCUUGUAGAGGGGGUAGAAUUCCAUGUGUAGCGGUGAAAUGCGUAGAGAUGUGGAGGAAUACCGGUGGCGAAGGCGGCCCCUGGACAAAGACUGACGCUCGAUGUGCGAAAGCGUGGGGAGCAAACAGGGAUUUAGAUACC
rnacentral:rRNA from 1 species